GCCGGGCGCGGUGGCUCAAGCCUGUAAUCCCAGCACUUUGGGAGGCCGAGGCGGGCGGAUCACGAGGUCAGGAGAUCGAGACCAUCCUGGCUAACACGCACAGUGAAACCCCAUCUCUACUAAAAAAUUCAAAAAAACUAGCUGGNNNNNNNNNNCCAGCUAGUUUUUUUGAAUUUUUUAGUAGAGAUGGGGUUUCACUGUGCGUGUUAGCCAGGAUGGUCUCGAUCUCCUGACCUCGUGAUCCGCCCGCCUCGG
rfam:Chlorocebus sabaeus isolate 1994-021 chromosome 22, whole genome shotgun sequence.